GGGGGGGGGGGGCGGGGUGCUGGGGGGGGGCGGGUGGAACGGGGGGGCGGGGUGCGGCGGGGGGGCGGGUGGCGAGCGGGGGAGGGAGGCAUCGGAACGGGGCCGGGAGGGGGGGAGAGGCCGGCGAAAGAGGGGUGAAUACGGCAGCCGCCAUGAGGGUGACAGCGGGGGGCGGAAAGGCCUCGCGCGAUUGGGGCGGCCGAUGGCGGAGUAGCUAGUUGGGUGGGUAAAGGCUAACCAAGGCGACGAUCCGUAGCUGGUCGGAGAGGACGAGCAGCCACCCUGGGACUGAGACACGGCCCAGACUCCUACGGGAGGCAGCAGUGGGGAAUUUUGGACAAUGGGGGCAACCCUGAUCCAGCCAUGCCGCGUGCGGGAAGAAGGCCUUCGGGUUGUAAACCGCUUUUGUUCGGGAAGAAAUCCUCUGGGCUAAUACCCCGGGGGGAUGACGGUACCGGAAGAAUAAGCACCGGCUAACUACGU
rnacentral:rRNA from 1 species